CAUUCUGAAACAAUUGCAGCAGUCUCUCUCUCCCAUAAGACCAGUAGCUCUAUACUCAGAGAAAACAUAGAUCUAAGAAAGGUAUGUUCAUGUUUCUAUAUCCCUUCUUCUUCCAAUGUUGUUCAAUCUUCCAUGUAUUACAAAGUUUUUCCCUCUAUCUCUCUAAAUCUAUUUAAAUUACAGUUAUUCAGUUAAGAUCGAAUUAGGCAAGAGAAUCAUCCAUCGAUUGACCCAAAAACACCAGAGAAGUCGAGACAUUCUUAAACACCCAAUCGUAACUGUUGGACCCAUUUGGUGGAAAAGAGAACCUUCCACAUGGGAAGGAGGUUUUGGUUUAAUACCAAAAAAACGCUACAUUUUGGAAGAUUAGGGUUUUUACCCUAAGGCUCGUGACUUCGUCACUUUCGGCAGAGAAGAAAAAGGGGCAAAAAUGAGAGGGAGAGAGGAGAUCGCGGUGAGCACAUGGCGGAGGACGUUUCGGCGGUCCGUCAAGAAAGCUCGGUGGUAGAUCGGUAAGAUCCCGGUACAGGUUGGCAUCCCUUGGCUGUUUCCCCUUCUCUUUUGUUCUCGGUUCUUCUCGGUGAGGCUCCGGAUUGUGGAGAUCCGCCGAGCUUCUGUUCUCCGGUGUUGUUCUUCCGUCGAUAGUGGAUUCGCCGGCACCGUCCGGCCGAGAUGUAGGCCCGAGCUUGCUCGGUAACCGAACUCGUUAAAA